CCCCUCUCAGGGCCGCACCUGGAGAGUUUCCAGUACUCUACCAGUCUUGGCUACGGGAGGAAGAGCCAAACAGAGGCCUACCCAUUCCAUUCCUAGAUUGACCAGUGGAUAGUGAGUGGAAGGUAAUCUGCUACAAGU